GCCCACGCCGACCACACCAUCAAGUAUACCGACUACAUCAAGCAAGAUGGAACAAUCAUCAAGUCAAGCUGCACCAGCUCAUGUCUUCGAUGGACCAAUUACUCGUAGCCGAGCUAAACAGCUACAACAAGAGGUUCACCAAGGAGGAUGACAAGGACACGCCGAGACUGAACCAGAGAGGAGAACUACGUCGAACCAGUUCGGCCUGGCAGAACUGUCAUGAAGAAACAGUCAUAUCUCUUGAUUCAUAGAAGCUGUGAAGGUCCAUGAGUACUUGUUGGAAAGGUGUUGAAGUCAACUUUCUAAUGCCACUAAGUGCCGAGUGCUUUAGAGCUUCCAGCUUGGCAGCCGAGUGCUUUUGGUGCAGACUGUUCAGAAGAUCAAUAGUCAGCCUGAUAUCCAAGUUUCCGUGAGAAACUGUAUCGCUCUACAAUAUUUCGUGAAGCAUGCUACACAUGGUGUGAAAGGUUAUCAAAUUAGCUUUCCAACGCAUCUGGUCCCGCGUCUUUUGGAUGUUCCUAGGUGGAGUUAUGAUUAAAACAUUGAAGACCACUCAAAAGGCCAGAAGACAUGCGGGAGAUUGACGACCACUGCAUGAAUGAUCAAACCAGUUGGCCUUCCACCUUCCCACGUGGCUCUUUCAGUUCACAUCUAUUUUUAGAGACUAGUUAUUAGUAUAAAUACCCCUUAUUUGUAAGCCAAGAGGAACUUUUGAUGAAUUAAGAUUAUUCCAGUGAUAUUUGCAGCCGAGCUGCUUGA